GCCUGGGUGGCUCAGUCAGUUAAGCAUCUGACUUCGGCUCAGGUCAGGAUCUCAUGGUUCAUGGGUUCGAGCCCCAUGUCAGGUU
rnacentral:tRNA from 1 species